rnacentral:rRNA from 1 species
AGCAGCCGCGGUAAUUCCAGCUCCAAUAGCGUAUAUUAAAGUUGUUGCAGUUAAAAAGCUCGUAGUUGAACUUCGGGGUUUACCCAUUGGUCAGGCUUAAUUGUCUGUACUGGUGAGAUAAAUCUCUACCUUCUGAGGAACUUUCAUGCCAUUUAUUUGGUGUGAUUGGAAAUCAGGACUAUUACUUUGAAAAAUUAGAGUGUUUAAAGCAGGCUAACGUCUGAAUAUAUUAGCAUGGAAUAAUGAAAUAGGACGGCUUGGUUCUAUUUCGUUGGUUUCUAGGAUCACCGUAAUGAUUAAUAGGGAUAGUUGGGGGCAUUAGUAUUCAAUUGUCAGAGGUGAAAUUCUUGGAUUUAUUGAAGACUAACUACUGCGAAAGCAUUUGCCAAGGAUGUUUUCAUUAAUCAAGAACGAAAGUUAGGGGAUCGAAGACGAUCAGAUACCGUCGUAGUCUUAACCAUAAACUAUGCCGACUAGGGAUCGGACGAAGUUAAUUUUAUAAUGACGCGUUCGGCACCUU